UUGGACUUACGAUGUCAUCAUUCUAAUAAAUGCUAUAUUCAUUGCUUUGGAUGAGGAAAGCCCCUAUAUUUCCUAUGCAGAGUGGGUCUUCCUUGCACUGUAUAUAAUUGAGAUACUCCUGAAAGUGUAUACUUACGAACCAAGGACGUUCUUUGGCAAAAACCAAUUCUGGAACUGGUUUGAUACCCUGAUCAUCUUUGCUGCCUUGACUGCAACAAUACUCAACACCACUCUAAAAUC